rnacentral:lncRNA from 1 species
CCGCAGCAUCCCACCUGCCUCUGCACAGAGGUCUCCUUCCCAACACACGCCACAAGCAUCCAGGGCCCUUAAGCAAGGAACAUCUCCUUUCCCUGGAAUGCAAAGGAUGAAAGUGUCUGGGGAAGAAGGUGGAAACCAUCACUUCAUCAGGGCCAACGUGGUACCCAAAAUCUGAAUUCUGCUCCUCCCCAGACCUCACCAGGCAGCGACCAGGAGUGCUCCUGUGGCUGGUGGGAACAGGAAAACUUCGGAUGGGGUGCCAUUGGAUGCCACCACAGGGUUCAGUCCCAGCACAGCCUGACCCAGGGAGUCCUCAC